rnacentral:rRNA from 1 species
GCGCCUUGCCAGCCCGCUCAGGUGUGCCAGCAGCCGCGGUAAUACAGAGGUCUCAAGCGUUGUUCGGAAUCACUGGGCGUAAAGCGUGCGUAGGCGGUUUCGUAAGUCGUGUGUGAAAGGCGGGGGCUCAACCCCGGACUGCACAUGAUACUGCGAGACUAGAGUAAUGGAGGGGGAACCGGAAUUCUCGGUGUAGCAGUGAAAUGCGUAGAUAUCGAGAGGAACACUCGUGGCGAAGGCGGGUUCCUGGACAUUAACUGACGCUGAGGCACGAAGGCCAGGGGAGCGAAAGGG